AUCGUACGACGUAGUUGAUCAUGGCUCAGAACGAACGCUGGCGGCAGGCUUAACACAUGCAAGUCGAACGCCCCGCAAGGGGAGUGGCAGACGGGUGAGUAACGCGUGGGAAUCUACCGUACCCUACGGAACAACAGUUGGAAACGACUGCUAAUACCGUAUACGCCCUACGGGGGAAAGAUUUAUCGGGGUAUGAUGAGCCCGCGUUGGAUUAGCUAGUUGGUGGGUAAAGGCCUACCAAGGCGACGAUCCAUAGCUGGUCUGAGAGGAUGAUCAGCCACAUUGGGACUGAGACACGGCCCAAACUCCUACGGGAGGCAGCAGUGGGGAAUAUUGGACAAUGGGCGCAAGCCUGAUCCAGCCAUGCCGCGUGAGUGAUGAAGGUCUUAGGAUUGUAAAGCUCUUUCACCGAUGAAGAUAAUGACGGUAGUCGGAGAAGAAGCCCCGGCUAACUUCGUG
rnacentral:rRNA from 1 species